CAACCUUAUCCAGAUCCAACGAGCGAAGCAUUCGAUCCUUCACGAAAACAGAAGACAGUGGAACCGAAGAGGGCAGCGCCGCUGCCGCUCCACACACCGCCGGCGCCGCCGACGCAGUCCGCUCCUAACGCCCUCUUCCGCCUCCUCACUGCAGCAGCAUCCCCACCGCUCACUAACACGUCCCCCCUCCGGCCCUCCCCGAUUUGUCCUCCCGCCGACCCCGUCUCCUCCGACGCCGACGUCGGCAAACACGCAGCCGCCGCCGCCCGUCCCCCAAGUCCGUGACGCCUCUCCUCCCUCGUCCUCUGAUGUAGCAGCCCCUGCGCCCACCAAUUCCCCCUCCUCCCUGUUGUCUCCCCUACCCCAUCUCCUCCGACGCCGAUGUCGGCAAGUACGCCACCGGCGCCGUCCGCUUCCGAUUCCGCGACCCCUGUCUUGCCUUAUCCUCUGACGCAGCAGCCCAGUCGCCCACCACUCCCCCCCCCCCUCCUCCUUCCCGGCGUCUCCUCCUUCCACCCCAUCUCCUCCGACGCCGACGUUGGCAAGUACGCCGCCGGCACGUUCCAUCCCCCGAGCUCGCGACGCCACUCUUGCCGCCGGUACUAUGCCUCUGCUGCUGCCUCUCCUUCCCACCCGUCCCGCCUCCCAAGUUCAAAAUUUCUGUCAAAGUUCAAAUCCGCGCGCCCAGUUCCAACUCUCCAGAAACCACUCCUACAGCCCAAUAUAAAUAAGUGGGCAGGCAUAUGGGACUCACGCUGCUCAAACUACACCCCCAAGAAGUCACACAUUGGUCACGCAAACCUUCAGAUUGAAGGGAGUGUGAGGAAGUGUGAUUCACUUCUCUUCGCCAUCUAAUCUUCUUCGUCAAGGGCAAGGCCAGGCGCUUCGCCUUUCAGCUAUGGAGUGGCGUGGUAUUCCAUGGGAGGUUUUUGUGGCCCAUGUUUCACGCAUGAUGGCCAUACAUAAAAAAAAAACUCAUUCUAGCUUCCCCCGUCUGAAUACUGUAUCAGUAGCAGUUGGAAAAGUACUGAAUGAUACACAUCUUAUAUAACUGACUCCAACAUCCUGGAUUAUUUAUAUCCAAUCUGACUGCAGUUUUUAUGCAUUUCAUAUCUUAUUUCAUCUAAUCAGUGUGCAGUUUGAAUGCAUUAUUUUGUAGCCAAGUCCAACAGAACUUGCUCCAGUGGCAUGCCAAGUGCUCAUACAAGUCUAUUUAUACGCGAGCCAACAGAUAUGACAAGUUCAAGUCACUCGUCUUUGGACGAUGAAGUGACAAACGAAUCAUCUACGAUUUUCCCUUCUAAUGGCAUGCUCAUAUCAACUGAGGGCUUGGAGUGCGGAGAAAGCUCAAAAGGGCGAAAGCGUGCACGUGAAGCAAUAAGAUAUGCUAGCCGUACACCAGAACAAAUCCAAGCAAGGCGAGAACGUGUUAGAGCACGUCGGCAAAAUUUAACACCUGCUGAGAAGAAAAAGAUUAAUGCACAAAGAAGAGAAAAAAGACAACGAAUGGCACAUGAUGAGAGGAAUGCAAGCCAACGACCAUGUAGGCAAAGUUUGACAUUAGAUGAGAGGCAAGAAAUAAAUGUGAGCAGAUGGAUGAUGUGAGAGCUCCAAAGCUAAUAUUGUUGGCAUAAAUGUUUUGAGCAAACAACUACAGAAGAGUAUACUAUGCUGAGAAAUGACUUCAUGGCCUGAUAAAUGCCUAAGGAGCUCUGCCUUUUCAUUAUACUGUACAAAACUGCCGGAAGCAGCAGCCGGAAAUGAUUACAAUAAGGAAGAAAAAGGGAAAAUAGGCUGAAGCCAAAGGCAUCCAGCCAUGCCACCCUCAGGCUACUACUCCCCUGCCUCCUUAAGGAGGCCGAUCGCAUCUCUUGCAAGAAGCAGCACAGCAGAAAUAGAGCUUGACGAGGCCUUGAAAACUCUGUUCUUUCUCUCAAUCCAAAGGUGCCAUGCAAUAUACACUGCCGCCGUGCAUUCAUCGGUAGCAUUGCCUUUCUUCUUCAGGCUUUUAUCCUAUCAAAGGAAAGAAGCAGUUCUGUUGUAGUGGUUCUAAGGCUAGACAUGAUAAUAUGUAUUGGAGAUUGCUGGCCGUGCCGGUGAUUUGGGAGAUCUGGUGAGAGCGGUCAUCACAUUUAUCGCAAUUCAGAGUUAUCGUCUGUGACACUCACAGGCCUUGCAUUUGACGAAGCCACUAUUUGAAGGAUGCUGACACAUGGCACAUCAUCUCUAUUUUUUGCCAUAGUAAUCUUGCUUACUGAGCCCAAUUAUUUUGGUUGUACUUGUAUGUAAUCUCUUAUGUAUGCAAGUUAUGCACCAAGUGCUUGUGAUUGUGUUAUCUUUUCUCAUGUGAGUUUUCAUGACUGGUUACUGAAUGUGAUAUGUUUGUGAGGUGA